AGUCGAGAAUCAUUCGCAAUGGGCGAAAGCCUGACGGUGCGACGCCGCGUGGAGGAUGAAGGCCCUAGGGUCGUAAACUCCUGUCAUCAGGGAGUAAGGGCUUGCGCAGUCACUGGCGCGGGCAUUGAUAGUACCUGAAGAGGAAGGGACGGCAAACUUCGUGCCAGCAGCCGCGGUAAUACGAAGGUCCCAAGCGUUGUUCGGAUUUACUGGGCGUAAAGAGUCUGUAGGCGGCGGGGUAAGUCAGAUGUGAAAUCCCGGGGCUCAACCCCGGAACUGCAUCCGAUACUGCCUUGCUAGAGUAUUGGAGGGGAGCCUGGAAUUCUCGGUGUAGCAGUGAAAUGCGUAGAUAUCGAGAGGAACACUAGUGGCGAAGGCGAGGCUCUGGACAAUUACUGACGCUGAGAGACGAAGGCCAGGGGAGCGAA
rnacentral:rRNA from 1 species